GACGAACGCUGGCGGCGUGCUUAACACAUGCAAGUCGAACGGAAAGGUCCUGCUUUUGUGGGGUGCUCGAGUGGCGAACGGGUGAGUAACACGUGAGUAACCUGCCCUUGACUUUGGGAUAACUUCAGGAAACUGGGGCUAAUACCGGAUAGGAGCUCCUGCUGCAUGGUGGGGGUUGGAAAGUUUCGGCGGUUGGGGAUGGACUCGCGGCUUAUCAGCUUGUUGGUGGGGUAGUGGCUUACCAAGGCUUUGACUGGUAGCCGGCCUGAGAGGGUGACCGGCCACAUUGGGACUGAGAUACGGCCCAGACUCCUACGGGAGGCAGCAGUGGGGAAUAUUGCACAAUGGGCGGAAGCCUGAUGCAGCAACGCCGCGUGCGGGAUGACGGCCUUCGGGUUGUAAACCGCUUUCGCCUGUGACGAAGCGUGAGUGACGGUAAUGGGUAAAGAAGCACCGGCUAACUACGUG
rnacentral:rRNA from 1 species